rnacentral:rRNA from 1 species
GACGAACGCUGGCGGCGUGCUUAACACAUGCAAGUCGAACGGAAAGGCCUCUUUCGGGGGGUACUCGAGUGGCGAACGGGUGAGUAACACGUGAGUAACCUGCCCUUGACUUUGGGAUAACUUCAGGAAACUGGGGCUAAUACCGGAUAGGAGCUCCUGCUGCAUGGUGGGGGUUGGAAAGUUUCGGCGGUUGGGGAUGGACUCGCGGCUUAUCAGCUUGUUGGUGGGGUAGUGGCUUACCAAGGCUUUGACGGGUAGCCGGCCUGAGAGGGUGACCGGCGACAUUGGGACUGAGAUACGGCCCAGACUCCUACGGGAGGCAGCAGUGGGGAAUAUUGCACAAGGGGUGGAAGCCUGAUGCAGCAACGCCGUGUGCGGGAUGACGGCCUUCGGGUUGUAAACCGCUUUCGCUCAUGACGAAGCUUUGUGUGACGGUAGUGGGUAAAGAAGCACCGGCUAACUACGUG